GUGUCAGCAGCCGCGGUAAUACAGAGGGUGCAAGCGUUGUUCGGAAUUACUGGGCGUAAAGCGCGUGUAGGCGGUUUGUUAAGUCUCGUGUGAAAGCCCUGGGCUCAACCCAGGAAGUGCGCGGGAAACUGGCAGACUGGAGUGUCGGAGAGGAUGGCGGAAUUCCCGGUGUAGAGGUGAAAUUCGUAGAUAUCGGGAGGAACACCUGUGGCGAAGGCGGCCAUCUGGACGAUGACUGACGCUGAGACGCGAAAGCGUGGGUAGCAAACAGGAUUAGAAACCCCUGUAGUCC
rnacentral:rRNA from 1 species